rnacentral:lncRNA from 1 species
UCUUUCUUUACCUUGCUGUUGAGUGUGCUGCUGCUGAGAGUUGCUACAGAAGGAAUUCAGAUAUGGCACCCUGGACAGAUGGCAAGAGUCUGGCAUUGAGCACCAUCAGACCUACGCUGAAGACCUGCACACCUCCUCUCUGGAUCACAUUCACAUUUAAAAAGGUAUGAAGUUGAGCAGAGUUAGAGUAUCUACGGUUCUGUUUAUAAAAAAUAAAGUAAGGCAGUGAGGCUCAGCAGUAGAGUGCUUGCCUAGCAUGCACAAAUCCCUGGGCUUGAUCUCUAGCACUGCAAGAAAAAAAAAAUCAAAGUAAAAUUUCAAAAAGUUUAAAUCCCAAAUAGUAUGCUUACUAUAAGGGAAUUUAAAAGUACAAGUGGACUAAAAAAGAAAAUACUUAAAGACAAAACUCCUAAAAAUUUCUUGGUUGUAUUUUCAGAAAGUUCUUUCCACCCCCAAUACAAAAUAUUUUCUACAAAAUAAAUAUGGUUUAUACUUCAGAAAUCAGAACAUGGCUUCCUAUGCUUUCCUCCACUUAACAUAUUUCGUCAAUAGACAUUUCCCUUUGGCAGUGAUUGAAAGAGUGAUUAUUUGUUGCAUGAGUGCACCAUGAUGCAGUUUACUAAGCCCUGUUGAGGACAUUUAAAUCGUUUUAUUGUUUCAAUUAGAAUCAAUAGCAUGAUAAACAUUCCUACAGCUCAAUCUCUUCAUACAUCUCUUACUGUGUCCUCAAUAUUUAUUCCUAAAAACAUAGUUAAUUUUUUUUAACAGCUUUUGGGAAGAAAAAAAAAAAAACUAAACCAAAAUAUAGUCUCCCAAAAACUUGAAGUUUAUAUACUUAUAGCAGUUUUUGGGUAUGCUAAAAAAAAUCAUCAUAACAUGAUGCUUUCCAAGUGACAAAAAAUUGUGAAGAUUUUACAGACAUCACUGCAACCUCUCCAUUGACCAUAUGAGAGGGUAUUGUUAUUCUCAUAUAUAGAAGGGGAAAAGUGAGGAUCUGAUGGACAAAGUAACUUGCUCAAGGUCAUGCAGACAGGAAAUGCAGAGGUGUGCUUGAAGCCCAGCUCAGGCUGAUGCUAAUGACCCUGUCUCCAUACACUGCUCUGCCUCCCUCUGCACAUUCACAGAAACUGGCACCUUAAGAAGCACCUGAAGUAUUUUUUCUUGAUUAUUAAGCUAAAUGUUCUGUUCCCUUUUGGCUGCUAUUUCCAUGCACUGAGCUCUGAAUGACUAAGAACCAUUUUUUGAUUAAUUAGAUUUUUGUUGCCAAGGAAUUAAUUUGGUCCCCUACCCCCUCCUCUUUCUCAAAAAGCACACAACAAAAUGAUUUUAGCAGCAGGGAUAAUUACAGAAAAUGUGGUGUUAACUUGAGUGGAAUACAAAUAUUUUAGAUUUUUUAUUGUUCUCCAGGACUGCCAGUGUGGGAAGAAAAGAGUGAAAUAAGCUGCAUUCAGUAGACCUUAGGAGAGAGCAGGACCCAGCUGGGAACCUGACGCCACUUUUGCACAUGCCCUCUGACAGACUGUGAGAAACCAGCCAUGAGACUGGAGCCUGAUCAGAGAGGAAGGCUGAAGCCCGUUGGAAUCCCUGGGACUCAAGAAGAUAAGAAGAGCCCAGCAAAGGUGCAGUCAAGCCCUUCCUCUUUCCCUGCACCUUCCUUGCCUGGCUGCCUUAGCUUUCUCUGCAGGUAACCUAAGCCCAGUGCAGGGUCACAUCUGUGGGUUUGAAGGAGCGCUGCAGGAGGCAUGGGCUACAAGAUAGAUGUCUCAGGGCAGGAAGCCACACUCACACCUAUAGUCCAGGUUGUAGACUUGGAGGCCCAAGAGCUCCGGCUCUUAGCUCCCUGGACCUGGACUUAUCUUAGACUUUCAUGAAUUUUUCCUCUCUGUGCUUGAGCACCUCUUAGUAGCUUCCUAUGGAAGAAUUCAAGAAGAUACAUUUUCUUCACUUUUUCAAGACUCAACAUUCCACGUUUCUUUCUUCAUCAUACUCAAAAAGUAGUUUGGAUACAGAAUCCUCGGCUGAGAGCUAGAAUCUUGAAGGCAUUUCUUUCAAACACUUCUACAGACACAUUGCUACUCAAAGUGUGGUUGUGGCCCAGGGUCAGUCUGCAAACUAUUCAUCAUCCGUUUGUGAAAAGAAGUACAGAAGUUGAGAGUAAGCAUUUUGAAAUUUUGAUCCUGAUUUGAGUUAUUUUGUGUGUGGUGAAAUUGAGAAUAAAACUUGGGGGCAUUUAAUUUGUAUGUUUUUUUGAAUUUACUUUUUUCUAAUAAUUGUUUCCUACUCUAUUCUAAGUUUUAUUUUGUUCUCUAAGUCACUGGGUGUUACAGAUAGUGUGAGAAGCACUGUUCGUAAGAUAUGGCUUUGACCUUAAGGAGUCCUUUGUCGGUGUGAUUGUGGUGUUUUAUGAAUAGCUCAUUUUUUCUCUCUGAAGGUGUUAAGGUUUUCUUUUAUCCCUGGGAUUUGGUGGUCUUUUGUCAUUACUGUGCAAGGCUCACAUGAGUCCUUCCUCCUGGAUAUUCAUUCAUUCGCUCAUUUGUUCAUAGUGAUUUCUCCUCUCUUUUUUUUUCCCCUCUGUUCCCUUUUUUCAGGAAUUAUCACCCAAUGGUUGGUUGGGCAUUGGUCCUCAGGUUUCAGCUGUUGAAUCUUCAGCAUUGUCUUCUUAUUUCCAUUCCUUUUUCUCUUUUUGUUUCACUUCUCAAGAUUUUAUCAACUUUAUCUCUCAACUCUUUAUUCUUUAAAAUAGACUAUAUAUAUGUAUAUAUAUAUAUAUAUAUAUAUACACAUAUAUAUAUAUAUAUUUUAUUUUACAAUCUUUCUUCUAAUUUUUUUUUAAUAUUCUGUCCUACUUUGUAUGCAGUAUCUUUUUUGGGGGUGGGGGUGGGGGUGGGUACCAGGGAUUGAACUCAGGGGCACUCAAUCACUGAGCCACAUCCCCAGCCCUAUUUUGUAUUUUAUUUAGAGACAGCGUCUCACUGAGGUGCUUAGAGAGUACCUCGCCAUUGCUGAGGCUGGCUUUGAACUUGCAAUCCUCCUGCCUCAGCCUCCAGAGCCAGUGGGAUUACAGGCGUGUACCACCACAUCUGGCUAUGCAGUAUCGUUUUUAAGGAAGCUGAUUGGAUGCAUUUCUUUCAAGUCUUUGCUUCCUGCAUUAUAUCUGUUUCCUUUACCUUUUGUUUUCCUAGUGUACUUCCCCUCUCUUUACAUUGAUGGUCCUUUUCAAAGAUCAUGGGUGUCCAUUUUUAUCUAAUAAUCUGAUGGAUACUUCUGUAUAUAGGUAUGGGGGGAUGUAAAUCAGCAGGUUUUGCUCUUGGGUGAUUGGGAAGGAGACUGAUAUAGGGACAACCCAAACAUCACUAUAUGAGUCUUUUAUAUGGGGUGAUUCUGUUUCCUGAGCUCCUCUCUGGGGAGGUGGUAGUGGUGGGCAGUGUACUUAUCUAGCUGAAGUGCUCUGCAUGUCUCCUGGAAAGACUGAUGAGCAGAUCCAAUUUCACACACAGACAGACCUCAGCUCUGCACUGCUGGGCUCUUCCCCCACGGCCGUUCUGGUUAAGUCUUAAGCUUCUCUAAGGAUCAGUAGGGCAUGUUGCAAAAAUUUAUUAAAAUCUCACAUCCACUGAUGUCCCUUACCAAUUCUCUUUACCUGGGAGGGAACAAAGAUAAAUAUCUGUGUCAAUGGACUAUUUUUAAGCAGAAGACUACAUCCUGUACUUCUAGAGUUGGCUUGUGAAAGAUUGAAGACUUAUUAAUAUUCGAUUUCUUUUCAUUAGCUCCAGCCCAAUUAGGGCCUCAUUGCGUGAUGCAUAAUUUGAUAGGCAUGCCUUCCACAUAUUCAUUAACAUAUUGAUAAGAGUGUUGAACAGGAGAGGGGGAAGGACAGUGCCCAGUGGCAUGUUACUAGAGACCUCCACUAAUGAAGGCUGGAAUUCUGUCUGUCUGGCACUGCUCUAGCAUGGCACUGGAGCUUAGUUGUAUAAUACGCUUCCAUGAAUGUGACCACACUCUCCCAAGAGAAAUGCAGGUGAUCUUGUGAGAUCUGUUCCUAGUGAACCACACUGGUUGUAGUGUGUACCAACCACUUCCCUUUGUUCUUGAACUGCUAUUAUUAUUUAAUUAUCUCUUUUUGAUUUUUCAGAGAAUUGGUAUUCAACUUGUGAGUUAUAGUUUCGGAAUCUGCCGCAUCACCCUUUCUUUUUUUUUUAUUUUUAUUUUACUCAUCACUCUUUCUAAAAUGAACAUUGCUGCUGGGCGUGAUGGCAUACUAUGUAAUCUCAGAGGCCCAGGAGGCUGAGGCUGGAGGAUUGCAAGUUCUAAACCAGCCUUACUAACUUAGUGAGGCCCUAAGCAACUCAGUGAGACCCUGUCUCUAAAUAAAGUAUAAAUAAGGGCUGGGGAAGUGGCUUAGUGAUGAAAUACCCCUGGAUUCAAUCCCUAAUAUGAAGGAAAAAAAGAGAACAUGGCCUUUUCUGGCUCCUCUCCUGGUCUCACAGUUCACACACACAUGUUGGGGACGCCCUGUCCUCCCUACACUGGGUUAUCAUUGGUGUGGGCCUGGCCCAUACAUCUUAUUCGAAAUAGUUUAAACCCAGUUCAUGUGCCGCAGUCCGGCUGCAGCAAAAUAACCGGGGGGUGACGAACAACUUGUGUACAUUGAUACAGCAGGAGUGGGAGCCGUUUGUUGUAGGACAGGAGGGGUAUAUAUACAUUCCACACAGCUUAUCUUAAUUAACAUAAACUAGAUACAGCAGUCAACCAAUAAGGAAUCUCCACACUUAAUGGCUCACUGGCGUUACUUCACAAACCACUCCCUCUGGCAAAAUGCCAGGCGCCAUCCUGACUUGUUUACAGACCCUAACAUUCAUGAGCUCUCUUUACCUUGAGUUUAGAUGUCUGCUUUUCCAUGUAUGUUCUGUGCCUUCUAGUUUGAAAUUAAUUGUCCUUGACAGAGAAUGCAGAAGCUAAAGGAGUUAAGUAUGUUUUACUUUCUUUCUUUUUUUGUUUUUUCAUUCAGUGAACAUGGCCCUGAAUCACUCAGCUAGUUUAUUCCUUAUUCUUCUUGGUUUAAACAUUGAUUUUAAGAAAGGAGCGGGCUGGGAUUGUGGCUCAGUGGUAGCGCGCUUGCCUAGCACGUGUGAGCCACUGGGUUCGAUCCUCAGCACCACAUAAAAAUAAAGAUAUUGUGUCCUCCUACAACUAAAACAUAGAUUAAAAAAAAAGGUACAUGCUAAGAAGAUACUUGAUUUAGUGUCUAAAAUCUUACUCCUCCUGCAACAAUUUAUUUUACUGAAGUCUAUCACUGCAAUCAAAACCAGUAUGUGUACUUGAGAAGGGAGCCUAUUCUACUUAAGUAGAAUGACCUGCUCAAGGAGGGGCCACACUUGGUGGAUACAGGAAGAGCUGGGGUAGUUCUAGGGCCUGAGUGUGCAGGUAAUGUAAGAGCCAGGACUACAGCACAGGGGAAAGGAGAGGUCAAGGUGAAGCUCUGUGGCUCAGAAGGUGCUGCCUGCAGUGACCCUUGACCACCUCUUAUUACCCUCCCUCAAAUCCUGCUCUCCUUGUUUAUUAUGUGGUCAGUUCCAGCUGGACUGGUCUCUGUUCCUCAAACUCACUACACCCUGCCCUUUGCUGCCUCAGGCUCUUUGCAUUCUGAUAAGCUACUCUUUGUCCAGCUCUUUUUAUUCACAGCUCCUCUUCACUCUCAAGUGAGUUCAAAGGCCCUUGCUCAGGAGUCUACCCUGACCACCCAAUCUAAAGUGACCUCCCCUCCCCCAGAGCAUUAUCAUCUUGGAAUUCCUUGUCUUUACCAGAAUUUUCUAGGUUAUUUCCUUGCUUACAUGCUUAUUAUGCCCUCCUCCCUCAAACAUAAACUCUAGACUUUAUUUGUUUUUCUACUUUUGAUUCCCAAGGUUUCCUCCGGAGUCUGGCUUGAGGGAACCAGCAAGAACAACUUUGCCAACUUUCCAAUUUUCUUGAGGGUAGUCCUUGAAGACUGCAGGCUGGGGAUACGCAGCCCAUGCUCUAGAGCAAGGAUAGCAACUACAGCUCAUGGGUCCAAUUUAGCCCAUGACCUGUUUCUGCAAAGUUUAUUAGAACACGGUCGUACUCAUUCCUCUUAUGUAUCUGUGUAUAUUAUUAUCUGUGACUGCUUUCACCCUGCAAGGGCAAAGUUGAGUAAUUAUGACCAAGCCCACAUGGCCAGCAGAGCUGAAAAGAUUUAGUAUCUGGCCUUUAACAGAACAAGUUUGCCCUUCAUUGCUCCAGAGAGAAGAUCCCCUGUGUUACGUCAGACGUUGCUUUCAUGUGAGUUGAUACCACGAUGACAAGAUGUUUCAUGGCUUCUUCCCAUGGAGGCCUCUUUCAUGUCUGUGCGUUUAGAUAUGGGACAGAAUCUUACGAUGAUGAAAAUGUUGACUUUGGUGAUCUACUUAAUUCAGAUGGCAAAACUACUUUGACCCAAAUUAUCCCAAGAACAGAGAUCAAUGUGUUUUCUCUAAUUAUUAAUUAUCUCUAAUUAUUAAUUAUCGGGACAACACAUGGCAUAAGCCACUCUGCCUGUCUGUCUUUUUAUUCAGAGGAAGGAUUUAACAGGGUGCUUUGGUGGCAUAAAAGAUAGUCUUAAAGUGUAAGAUUGUAUUAUUUUUAUUAUUUCCCUUUGCUUAGAUCUCUGUGAGAAUCAUGAUGUUUCCAAGGCAACACAUGGCUUGGGGAGAUUGAGCGAAUACUCCCGGUGCACAGGGAUAACAUCACCGCUACCACAACAAUGUUCUCCAGCACACUGACGUCCCUGUUCAGAGGGACCCGUCCUCGUGAUCAGGAUCUGGGAGGCGUGAGUUUCAAAGGGAAAUGAUUACACAUAUGUUCAGUAAAUUUGCAAGCCCUCCUUGUGGCACAAUGGAGAAGGGAACACACUUAAAACUACACACAGGACUUGGCUCCUGCCUUCUCCAGGUAGGGGAGAGGUUGUCAACAACUGUUUUGUUACCUUGUCUGGCUGAAGGAGAUGCUGUUGAAUCUCUUUUCUGUUGUUCAUAUCUAUUGCAGACACAAGUUUCCUCCUUUUUUUUCCCCAUACCAAAUAUUACAAAGCUGUUCAAAUUGCCAGAUCAUUUCCCCCAAGAUGACAAUCAUUUCUUUAAUGAAAUCCUUAAAAUUUUCUUAUAAAGAUUUUUUUUAUAGAAAGCCACAGUUAUUUAAAAAUAAAAAAGGAAAAAGUCUCUAUGUAAUAGCUGUUGUUAAUAUUUUGUUAUAGACUCUUUCCAGACAUUGCCCUAUGGACUAAAAUUAAACAUACAUAUGCAUACACAUGUAUAUGCGAACACAAAUAUAUUAAUAUUUUAGACAGGGCACAACACUAUACACACUUUCUGAAAUGCUUUCUUUUUAACUGAAUAGGAUGUCAUGAUAAUUUUUCUGUUCUUCUGUAAUCAGAAUAGUGUGACGGUUAACAUCAUGUGCUCUGAAACUGAUCACCUGUUUCAAAUCCUGACCCUAUCAAUUACUAGCUCUAUGACUUUAAUUAAGUUAUUUUUAACCUUUAUGUUACCUCAGUUUCCUCAUCUGUAAAAUGGAGAUGAUAAUAAUGGGAUCUACUAAAUUAGGUUGUUGUGAGGAUAAAAUAAGUUAAGCCUAUGUGAACUGCUUAUUAAAUUUUAGCUAUUAUAAUUUGUACAUGUUAAUGCAUAUGUAUCUAUAUCAUAAUUUUAUUGGCUGCAUAUUAUACUGUCACACUUAUUGAAAGCAUCCUUUUCUGCUUUCCUUUGGUGUUAUGGUGUAUGUGUGUAUUCAUUUAAUGCAUGCUCUGCUAUUAUUUUUUGAUAUACCAUGGAGUUGGAACUGUAUGUUACAUCUGAGCAGAGAAUGUGGAGGAAUCUGUUAAUACUUUCUUACUGUAAGAAGUCCUGAAAAUAUUCAUAGGAAAAAGGAGCAGACUUAGCUGUGGUGCUCAGCAGAUAAGAGAUGAUGCUAUGACUACACAUGAACUUUAUGAAGUCUUGAUUUGGAUCUACUACUUUCUGAGCAUCAUAAGCAAAUCACUUAACCUAAGUCUUAAUGUUUGUAUCUGAAAAAUUAAGAUUCUUUUGGUAUCUAACCCCUCAGGGUCUUGUGAAGGCUGAAUUAGGACAUUUGCCUGGUUCUUUGCCAAGUCUCAGUAUACAUUAGAUGUUAUUAUUAGAAACUGGGAGUUACCAUUAAAAUAUACAGUGCAUGCACAUACACUUACACAGCUUAUCUAUCAUUUGAGAAAUUGUAAAUUUAUGUCUUUAGUUCCUUCCAUUUCCAUGGACUCCUUCCUGGUUAAUGAGCUACCAUGUCUCAAAUUCCCACCUACUUUUUUCAUGCUCAGCUUUUGUGGUGCUGCAGCUGGGAUUCUGCUAACCCCUUUCCUUUGUCAGCGGGACCCAU